rnacentral:rRNA from 1 species
AGAGUUGUAUCCUGGCUCAGAAGGAACGCUGGCAGCGUGCAUAACACAUGCAAGUCGAACGUGAGUACUCUUCGGGGUAUGAAAGUGGCGAACGGGUGAGUAACACGUAAGAAUCUACCUUUAGGACGGGGAUAACUUCUGGAAACGGAUGCUAAUACCCGAUAUGCUGUGGAGUGAAAGAAUUUCGCCUAAAGAUGAUCUUGCGUCUGAUUAGCUAGAUAGGGUGGUAACGGCACACUAUGGCGACGAUCAGUAGCUGGUCUGAGAGGAUGGACAGCCACAUUGGAACUGAGACACGGUCCAAACUCCUACGGGAGGCAGCAGUGGGGAAUUUUCCGCAAUGGGCGAAAGCCUGACGGAGCGACGCUGCGUGAAGGAUGACGGCCUGCGGGUUGUAAACUUCUUUUCUCGAAGAAGAAUAAAUGACGGUAUUCGAGGAAUAAGCAUCGGCUAACUCUGUGC